GACGAACGCUGGCGGCGUGCUUAACACAUGCAAGUCGAACGGAAAGGCCCUGCUUUUGUGGGGUGCUCGAGUGGCGAACGGGUGAGUAACACGUGAGUAACCUGCCCUUGACUUUGGGAUAACUUCAGGAAACUGGGGCUAAUACCGGAUAGGAGCUCCUGCUGCAUGGUGGGGGUUGGAAAGUUUCGGCGGUUGGGGAUGGACUCGCGGCUUAUCAGCUUGUUGGUGGGGUAGUGGCUUACCAAGGCUUUGACGGGUAGCCGGCCUGAGAGGGUGACCGGCCACAUUGGGACUGAGAUACGGCCCAGACUCCUACGGGAGGCAGCAGUGGGGAAUAUAGCACAAUGGGCGGAAGCCUGAUGCAGCAACGCCGCGUGCGGGAUGACGGCCUUCGGGUUGUAAACCGCUUUCGCCUGUGACGAAGCGUGAGUGACGGUAAUGGGUAAAGAAGCGCCGGCUAACUACGUG
rnacentral:rRNA from 1 species